UUAAAUGACUUGGAUGUUUUAUAGGUUGGCACUCAUCAUGAGCCCCUGUUCUCAUUCUGCAAAUGGUGAAGCUCUCUAUUGUCCUGACCCCACAGUUCCUGUCCCAUGACCAGGGCCAGCUCACCAAGGAGCUGCAGCAGCAUGUAAAGUCAGUGACAUGCCCAUGCGAGUACCUGAGGAAGGUUGAUGGACGGAUGGCUACAUGGAUGUGAUGGAGAUGGUUUACUAUCGGGACCUUCCGCACCCUGCUGAUGUUUUGUUGCUUAGGAUAUGAAUGGCUGAGCGGAGGCUGUAAAACCUGGCACUCUGCUUGGGUAUGAGGUUCUUCCUGCCAUCCUGCCAUCAUUUGUUUUUUAUGUUUUGUCGCCAUAAGUGACCUUGAGGAACCCUGGGAGCUCAGGAAGGAAGGAGCGCCCAGAAGCAGGGACAGGGAGCUGGUUGGGGAGGACCAGAAAUCAGGUUAUCAAUACUCUGGCUGACCAUCAUCAUCGUGGGACUGACUUUGGUGGAAGUCCUUGGUUACAUGUCAUUAUUGCGUUUCCGACAAGUUAUAAAGUUGUCAUUACCCUCUGGAUAGUUUACCUUUGGGUGUCUCUCCUGAAGACUAUCUUCUGGUCUCGAAAUGGACAUGAUGGAUCCACGGAUGUACAGCAGAGAGCCUGGAGGUCCAACCGCCGUAGACAGGAAGGGCUGAGGUCCAUUUGUAUGCACACAAAGAAAAGAGUUUCUUCCUUUCGAGGAAAUAAAAUUGGCCUGAAAGACGUCAUUACUCUACGGAGACAUGUGGAAACAAAAGUUAGAGCUAAAAUCCGUAAGAGGAAGGUGACAACGAAAAUCAACCAUCAUGA
rnacentral:lncRNA from 1 species